GAUGAACGCUGGCGGCGUGCUUAACACAUGCAAGUCGAACGAUGAAGCCCAGCUUGCUGGGUGGAUUAGUGGCGAACGGGUGAGUAACACGUGAGUAACCUGCCCUUAACUCUGGGAUAAGCCUGGGAAACUGGGUCUAAUACCGGAUAGGAGCGUCCACCGCAUGGUGGGUGUUGGAAAGAUUUAUCGGUUUUGGAUGGACUCGCGGCCUAUCAGCUUGUUGGUGAGGUAAUGGCUCACCAAGGCGACGACGGGUAGCCGGCCUGAGAGGGUGACCGGCCACACUGGGGCUGAGGCACGGCCCAGACUCCUACGGGAGGCAGCAGUGGGGAAUAUUGCACAAUGGGCGCAAGCCUGAUGCAGCGACGCCGCGUGAGGGAUGACGGCCUUCGGGUUGUAAACCUCUUUCAGUAGGGAAGAAGCGAAAGUGACGGUACCUGCAGAAGAAGCACCGGCUAACUACGUG
rnacentral:rRNA from 1 species